GACGAACGCUGGCGGCGUGCUUAACACAUGCAAGUCGAACGGAAAGGCCCUGCUUUUGUGGGGUGCUCGAGUGGCGAACGGGUGAGUAACACGUGAGUAACCUGCCCUUGACUUUGGGAUAACUUCAGGAAACUGGGGCUAAUACCGGAUAGGAGCUCCUGCUGCAUGGUGGGGGUUGGAAAGUUUCGGCGGUUGGGGAUGGACUCGCGGCUUAUCAGCUUGUUGGUGGGGUAGUGGCUUACCAAGGCUUUGACGGGUAGCCGGCCUGGGAGGGUGACCGGCCACAAUGGGACUGAGAUACGGCCCAGACUCCUACGGGAGGCAGCAGUGGGGAAUAUUGCACAAUGGGCGGAAGCCUGAUGCAGCAACGCCGCGUGCGGGAUGACGGCCUUCGGGUUGUAAACCGCUUUCGCCUGUGACGAAGCGUGAGUGACGGUAAUGGGUAAAGAAGCACCGGCUAACUACGUG
rnacentral:rRNA from 1 species